AGCGUAGGCGGGUUGUUAAGUCAGUUGUGAAAGUUUGCGGCUCAACCGUAAAAUUGCAGUUGAUACUGGCGACCUUGAGUGUAACAGAGGUAGGCGGAAUUCGUGGUGUAGCGGUGAAACGCUUAGAUAUCACGAAGAACUCCGAUUGCGAAGGCAGCUUACUGGAUUGUAACUGACGCUGAUGCUCGAAAGUGUGGGUAUCAAACA
rnacentral:rRNA from 1 species